CGGAACGGGUGAGUAACGCGCGAGGAACCUGCCUCAAAGAGGGGGACAACAGUUGGAAACGACUGCUAAUACCGCAUAAGCCCACGGCUCGGCAUCGAGCAGAGGGAAAAGGAGUGAUCCGCUUUGAGAUGGCCUCGCGUCCGAUUAGCUGGUUGGUGAGGUAACGGCCCACCAAGGCGACGAUCGGUAGCCGGACUGAGAGGUUGAACGGCCACAUUGGGACUGAGACACGGCCCAG
rnacentral:rRNA from 1 species